ensembl:ncRNA F46F3.12 ncRNA
AAAAAACCGGAUCGUCCAGAAUUUCGGAAAAAUUUUCUGUCGAGUUUCCCAGCCAUUCUCAUUUGAUUGAGCGUAGAAAUAAGAUAUCUGUUUCUCAUUUGAAUUUAAUAGCUUCUAAAAAUAUAAAGUGACGAAA